CUCUGCCGGCCGCGCUCUCCGCGCAAAGCCCCCGCCGCUCCCGGGGGCUGAGCGAGCCCGGGCUCCCUUGAACCCGCCGCCCGCAGGGCACCAUCAAUGCAUAGGGAACUACCGUGCCACGGGCACAGGGAUGCUGUCCUGCAUCUCACGUCGGCCUCGCCUCUGCUCGCACACAGCUGUGCGCAGACAAACGGAAAGACAGACAGACAGACAUCCGAGCCGGGCACAGCCCCACGCCCGCAUCUCGCCGGGAGAGCAGCGACAACCUUCGGAUGCCACCGACAGCACAGGAGGGUGUUUUGUUCCGUGACAUUUUUAUUCACGUUGCAGCACCCCGAUCUCCUCCUGUGCACCCGCGGGCACUCCCUGUGCUGAUCCCCGGGCUUGCCCGAGUGAGAUUUCUCUGCUAGAAUCUCUAAAACUUAUCUCUAAAUCUCAUGAAAUCCUAGGGAUGCGGGCGGGAGAAGCUGUCGCGCAGAGCACGGUCCGUUCCGGGGCUGGCGAGCUGGAGGCGCCGCCGGACUCCGGGCACUUGCGCAGCUACUACUGAAGUUCGUCCGUCCCCCUCCAAGCACCCACGAAGAAAACCACUUUCACCAACGUGAAUAGGUCAGAUAAACACCGUCACUUUUCCUUUUUUCUUUAUAAUUUUAUUAAUUUUUAUAAUUAUUAUUCCUCUGCGCUUUUCUAAAGACUCCGGAACAGCAUGUAAACAGGCCGGAGCAAAUGCGGCAUUUGCGGCGGAGAGCUGUCAGUCAUUAAAAGCCAACAAACCUUUGCAAAGCAGGAAUGCGGCAAUAGGGAUCCAUUGUGAGCUGACAAUGGGCUCCAGAGCCUCCAGGCACCAAAAGCAGCCCGCCUUACUUUUAAGUCCAUUGUCAGCAAAGUCCACGACAAAGCUUUUCCCCCCCGGCUAGACAAAAUAUUCGCCGUGGUACGCUCGUAAAGAAACACAAGUCUUCUGUCUAACUUGCCGCCUUAAAGCUACAGUAGACGCUCUCCGGGGCUGCCAGAGCCCCGCUGAGCUGGCCGCCGGCCGCUGCCUGCCCGCAUCCCUGUUUCCCUGCAUACUUGCUUGCCUCCCGGCUUCCCUGCCGCCUUCCCUGCCCGCCGGCCCCUCGCAGCCGCUCGGGGAGGGGCGCCGGGACGGUCCCGGUGUCACUUUCCCGGGGGAGUUUGAGCUCUGUCGGUGCAACCCCGGGAGCCGGAGUCCCCCGCCCGAAGACUCGUGUUACAUCCCAGCAACCCGAGCCCGCCGGUGAUGCCGGGAGAGCCGCGGACAAACAAGCGGGGAGUAAUGAAUGCGGUGGACGGCCAUGUAUCAAUGACUGAAUUUCUGCGAGAACGUGCCCACUGGUGAAUGCCUCCGCCUGUGCCAGCAGCUCCCUGGCUCCUCGGUGUCCCCUGGUCCCGCCACCCUCCCUCUGUGCCAAGCACCAUCCAGACUGACUCCCUCAUCCACAACAAUGAGACUUGGAGACUGAUGCCAGCAGCCAGUAAUUCUCAUGCAGGCCUUCAGCACAUGGAAUGAAACCACUUUCCUUGGAGUUGUGAGAGUCUUGUGUUCACUGCUCUGAUCUGCAGCUGCCUGCUUCCAGAGAAAGGCAUGCAAUUCCAACAUGCUGUAACAAGGUGAGGAAUGGGAGCUCUCCACAUGAGGCAUGACCGAAAGACCCAUAUUUGAAGAGGAAAUGGGAGAGAAAGCUCUGAUGUUAUACAGAGGCAACUAUGAUCAAAGUGUAAGAGGCUGAUGUAAGUUGACUACAAGUUAAGAGGGAAAGUGUGAGUCCUGGAGCCUCCCACUUGCAUGGUGUCUGGAUGUCCAAGGAUGGGUGCCCUCCCAAGGAGAUGCCCAAAGGGUUCCCUCCUCUGUAACUACAGUGAACAGAUCUUGCCCUGGGUUGAAAGAGAGAUACUUCUCAGAAAAAAGUAAAAGAAAGAUGUUUGGCCUUGGCAAGGAUGAUGACAUGAAGUGUAGCAAGAACAGAGAGAAGCCAAGAGUUGCUCAAUGCCCAUCCAGACCACCAAACAUUUCCUGCCAACACGUGUUAUUCCUAGAGGAAGGAGUAUUUGGUCGGCACAAAUUAUCAUGAAUGAACUUCAGCAUUAGCUGAUACACCUUCCACUUCUGGCAAGCACCUUCCUUUGUAUUAAGAAAGCACUGGCAAACACUGAGCUGGCACCCAUUAUUCACCUUUUCCUUCUGCUAUGGUCAUAAAUAUGUUCCACCCAUCAGUCACAGUUCCACUCAGCGUUCCUACAACCCUCACCUAUCCAUAUGUCACCCCACUGGCACUCUGUUCUCUGUUCAUGUACCGAAACAAAUCCUCUCUGGUCUAAAUCAGGAAAUGAGAUCAAGGGCAGAUUUCCACUCUUCCUUUAAAAGAGCAGACAAACAUGUAGAUAGAAGAAAUUUCUCUUUUUACGCCCCCAUAUUUUAUUAAGAAGCUCUUACCUAUACAAAAUCAGAAACAAUUUUCAUAGCAAGGAAAAUAAAGCAACUAUUAUGAAGAAAUGGCUGGUAUCAGCAGGUUACA